CCUACGGGUGGCAGCAGUGGGGAAUCUUGCACAAUGGGGGAAACCCUGAUGCAGCGACGCCGCGUGAGCGAUGAAGCCCUUCGGGGUGUAAAGCUCUUUCGGCAGGAACGAUUAUGACGGUACCUGCAGAAGAAGCUGCGGCUAACUACGUGCCAGCAGCCGCGGUAAUACGUAGGCAGCAAGCGUUGUUCGGAGUUACUGGGCGUAAAGAGUGCGUAGGUGGUUCUCUAAGUUCGGUGUGAAAUCUCCCGGCUCAACUGGGAGGGUGCGCCGAAAACUGGAGAGCUUGAGUAUGGGAGAGGAGAGCGGAAUUCCUGGUGUAGCGGUGAAAUGCGUAGAUAUCAGGAGGAACACCUGUGGUGCAGACGGCUCUCUGGACCAUUACUGACACUGAGGCACGAAAGCGUGGGGAGCAAACAGGAUUAGAUACCCCUGUAGUC
rnacentral:rRNA from 1 species